GUGGGGAAUAUUGGACAAUGGGCGAAAGCCUGAUCCAGCAAUGCCGCGUGAGUGAUGAAGGCCUUAGGGUUGUAAAGCUCUUUUACCAGGGAUGAUAAUGACAGUACCUGGAGAAUAAGCUCCGGCUAACUCCGUGCCAGCAGCCGCGGUAAUACGGAGGGAGCUAGCGUUGUUCGGAAUUACUGGGCGUAAAGCGCGCGUAGGCGGUUUAUCAAGUCAGGGGUGAAAUCCCGGGGCUCAACCCCGGAACUGCCCUUGAAACUGGUUCACUAGAAUCCUGGAGAGGCGAGUGGAAUUCCGAGUGUAGAGGUGAAAUUCGUAGAUAUUCGGAAGAACACCAGUGGCGAAGGCGACUCGCUGGACAGGUAUUGACGCUGAGGUGCGAAAGCGUGGGGAGCAAACAGGAUUAGAUACCCGAGUAGUCC
rnacentral:rRNA from 1 species